CACCAAGCAGUACCUACACUAGGGCGCUAUGUCACCAAAGAAAAACUGAAUGCAAGGUCAAAAAAAAAUGAGAAGUACAAGUGUAAAUAAUAUCAACUGAAUACACUACAAUGAUCAAAUAUACCCUAAUGCAUCAGAUGUAAAGAGCCCAAACCUGAACGAGUGAGUGACUGAGAUAAAGAGAUAGAAGAGUGAGUGAAUGAGAUAAAGAGAUAGAAGAGUGAGUGAAUGAGAUAAAGAGAUAGAAGAGUGAGUGACUGAGAUAAAGAGGUAGAAGAGUGAGUGAUUGAGAUAAAGAGAUAGAAGAGUGAGUGAAUGAGAUAGAAGAGUGAGUGAAUGAGAUAAAGAGAUAGAAGAGUGAGUGACUGAGAUAAAGAGAUAGAAGAGUGAGUGAUUGAGAUAAAGAGAUAGAAGAGUGAGUGAAUGAGAUAGAAGAGUGAGUGAAUGAGAUAAAGAGAUAGAAGAGUGAGUGAAUGAGAUAAAGAGAUAGAAGAGUGAGUGAAUG
ensembl:lncRNA